AACGAACGCUGGCGGCAGGCCUAGCACAUGCAAGUCGAACGGUUGUAGCAAUACAGCAGUGGCGCACGGGUGAGUAACGCGUGGGAACGUGCCCUUCAGUACGGAAUAACAGUUGGAAACGACUGCUAAUACCGUAUAUUCCCUCCGUGGGAAAGAUUUAUCGCUGAAGGAUCGGCCCGCGUAAGAUUAGGUAGUUGGUGGGGUAAUGGCCUACCAAGCCUACGAUCUUUAGCUGGUCUGAGAGGAUGAUCAGCCACACUGGAACUGAGACACGGUCCAGACUCCUACGGGAGGCAGCAGUGGGGAAUAUUGGACAAUGGGCGAAAGCCUGAUCCAGCCAUGCCGCGUGAGUGAUAAGGCCUUAGGGUUGUAAAGCUCUUUCGCCGAUGAAGAUAAUGACGGUAGUCGGAGAAGAAGCCCCGGCUAACUUCGUGCCAGCCGCCGCAGUAA
rnacentral:rRNA from 1 species